CCACGGUACAUCGAAAGAAAAAAAAAAAAGAGAGCAGCUGCGGCGGACGGCGGCGACGGCCGGUGGCCAGGAAGAAGAUGCCGCACGACGGCCUCGCUUGAGGCCUCGAGGUGGAGGCUGCGCUUGCGGCCGAGGCAGCGUGGGAACUGGAGACUGUUGCAUCCAUGGCUAUUGGAUCCUUGGAUAUGGAUGUGGACUCACCACCGCAUCUCCCCAUGGAGACCUCUGCUAACAAGUUUUCCCUUCUAUCCUUCUUGUGUCAUUGGUUCCAUUACUCUUUUCAUAUCUAUUCAUUUUUUUCUUGGAUUGUAUUCAGCCAUGAACCCUAACUCAGAUCGAGAUUAGGCUUAGUUUGCAAAGAAAGGGAUGGGUGCAAGAUUCAAUCCAUAGUAAUCCCUGCCAUGUUCUUAGUUCUUGUUUGGAAUUUAGCUGUGGAAUUCGAGAACUGUAUCUUUGAUUUAUCCUUCAAAAGAGGGACAUAUUUUUCCCCUUCCAUUGCUGAUUGUGAUAUACACUACCUGAAUGAUUGAGUAUGGUGGAAGAAAUCCCUGUGUUCAUUAUCCGUUAGUCUAUGUUUCUUCAAAAUAUGUUUUAUUUCAGAGUUGUUCACUUUGUUCAGCUAGCAGGUUUGUUUCGGUCAUCUUAUCAGGAGCUUGACUAUCAUUCUGGUUGGUCUAUUCGCUUCUAGACUAACAUACGAAACCAUGAAUGUCACAGACAUUUCUAGCCUAUGACAUAAUGUUGACAAUAAUUAUUUCAUGUUAUACUGGAUCGUGAAGAACAUUCUUUGGAAGUACUUGCAGCAAAUCCCCUAGAAGAUAGCAGCGAGAGAAUGAAUAGGUUAAUUGUUAUGCAGAAAAGGUUAUUGGAAGCAAAGAAGCGAAAGAGAUCAAUUUCAUCAGUUCACACAUCAAAUUCUGUACAUUUGGAUACUCAGUUAACUAGCUCUCCCACUCCGGUCUCUCCAGUUCAGAAAAGAAGUAAAAGAGUUGGUUCAAGAAAAUCACUAGUUUGGAAGCAUUUCGAUACAGGAUUAAGGGGUCAAAGCAUUUCGAUACAGGAUUAAAAGGGGUCAAGAUCCUGUUGCAGUGUGCAAAUAUUGUGAACAAGUAUAUGCAUGUGAUAGAUCCACACAUGGAACUAGCACCUUAUGGUACCAUCUAAGAAGUUUAUGCCCACAAGAGCCACUCAAGGGUCAGGACAUGCAAAGGAAGGGCCAAGGGACACCCAAGCAAUCUUACAGUAUUGAAGACUGCCGCAAAGCACUCGCUGAGAUGGUAAUAAUUGAUGAGAUGCCUUUUAAUCUGUUGAAGGUGAAGGAUUUAGAAGGUAUUCCAAAGUGCUACAGCCGAGGUUUGACCCACCUUCAAGAAUGACAGUAGCAAGGGAUUGCAUUCAAAGAUAUAUUGAGGAAAAGUCCAAAUUGAAGAAGAUUUUGAAGAAUCACAGAAUCUGCCUAACAACAGAUACUUGGACCUCCAAGCAAAACUUGAAUUAUAUGAGUCUAACAGCCCAUUGGAUUGAUGAUCACUGGAAGCUGCAGAAACGGAUCCUUAAUUUCUGUUCGGUUGCAGAUCAUAAAGGGGAGACACUUGGAAAACGGGUUGAAGAAUGUUUGCUGGAUUGGCGUACUGAUCGCCUAUUCACAGUCACAGUUGACAACGCAUCCUCCAAUGACAAGCUAAUUGAACACUUGAAGGGUGUGUGCGAAGACUGGAAUGGAGUUGUGUUAAAGAAUAAAUUUCUUCAUGUAAGGUGCUGCGCCCAUAUAGUCAACUUAGUCGUGAAGAGUGGACUCGAGGAACACAAUCACUCUAUCGAGAAGAUAAGAACUAAAGAGUUCGACAUUUUAGAUUACUGGAAAGUAAGCUCGAAUAAGUAUCCCGUACUCUCCCUUUUGGCAAAGGAUGUGCUAGCUGUUCUGGCUUCAACAGUUCCUUCGGAGUCAGCUUUUAGCACAGGUGGGCGUGUUAUAGAUCCUCUUCGCUGCAGUCUAUCAACUCACACCGUUGAAGCUUCGAUUUGCGCGCAAAGUUGGUUAGAGACAUCUCAAAGUAAAGUGAGUGCAAGAGAGGCUGCUGAAGAGAUUCAAACCUAUGAGAAGAUUAGAGAAGGCUAUAGUUUUGGUAAUUGAGUAGAAGUGCUGGCUUACGUGUCACAAUUGUUAACAGUAUUCUUUUCUUUUUAUUCAGAGUUUCUUUCAAAGAACUGCGUGGAUAACCAUCAACAGAUUGAUUUCACUGAGUUUGAAGGAUAGCAAUUUCUGACAAGGCGCAUAUUUUGUUUCUGACAAGAUUUCUUCGUUAUAUACUACGGGUAUGCAAGUACGAGAGUAUUCUUGGUGCAAUACAUCAACUUUAUGUGAAUGCAUUCGGAAAUUUCCUUAUAGUUUAGUUAACUUAAGCUAUUGUUAGAUUUAAGAAAUCUUUUGUAUGGAACAUGAUCAGUUCCCUAAGCAUGCUAUUCUCUUUUCGUGAGGGUGUUUUUUAUGUUGACUUAUUGCAAUUUUGGAUUGAAUCA